GAACGUUGUAAAUAACAUCACCCGUCUCUCUUCCAAAGAGCAGAACAGAGAGAGCUUUAACAAUGUCUCACUCUCUGGUAGUUUUCAAAUCGCCACCAUCAAUUUCCAAUGUUCGCUAUUCCACUUUUUCUUCACCAUCUUCUUUACGACGUCGUUUAAAUCUGAGACAAAAUCAUGGCCACCACCUUUCUUUUCCCUUCCGUUUUACUACUUCUCAUAGAUACCCAAUUCGCUGUUGUUCUUCUUCCUCCUCC
rnacentral:misc_RNA from 1 species